rnacentral:rRNA from 1 species
UACGUAGGGUGCGAGCGUUGCCCGGAUUUAUUGGGCGUAAAGGGCGCGUAGGCGGCCACGCACGUCCGUUGUGAAAUCGCCCGGCUCAACUGGGCGGGGUCGGCGGAUACGGCGUGGCUGGAGCAAGCUAGGGGGCAAUGGAAUUCCCGGUGUAGUGGUGGAAUGCGUAGAUAUCGGGAGGAACACCAGAGGCGAAGGCGGUUGCCUGGAGCUUUGCUGACGCUGAGGCGCGAAAGCGUGGGGAGCGAUCCGG